CCAUGAUAUUAUCUUGCAACUAAAUUGAAUCUGAAUUAUAUAAUGUAAUAUUUACUUUUACAGGAUCUAAUUUAGAUAAGCAGAGAAGUUGAGUGUGGAAGAACAAAAGAUUAAGGAAAUCUCGAAACAGUAUGAGAAACUUAAAACUCUGCUUAAUCAAAAAACCCAAUCUCGAACACGUAGACUAAACACCGGCACUACUUUGGAUACAAUCAACAACCCUAAUUCUGGAGUACGCUACCAAAGACGAGGAGAAACCAAAAAUGUCCUCGAGUUCAUCCAUGGUGGUGAAAAUGGAGCAUUGCUUGGUGCGUGGGACUUUGUGUCAGCAGAAGCACCAAAGGCUAUGAUGGAAAACCUCAUUGGUAACUAUAGGAGAGGAAAGUAUGUGGAAGGGAUAGUAAGAAAAACAGUGAAAGAUUAUACACAAUCUAAAAACACAUUGUCGGA